AGAGUGCUUCUGCGAGAGAAUUCAAGAACUGUGCUUAGCCAGCAAACUGCUCGAGUGCUGAGGAUUCCUUUCGUGAGAGAAUUCAAGAACGUUACAUUCAGCCUUCACUGAACUCCUUGUGAUCUCUUCUUGGACCUGAU